UAUGUACAAUUUCCUGAUGCAGGUGACUGUCAAGUUCCAUGACCAGUAACUGGUGGCGUCCCUCUCAACUCCGCUUCCUCCUGCUGCUGGAAUGGACCCCCGAUUGCUUUGACUCCAGAUGGGCCAUCGUUAAUUAGGUCAGCAGAGCUGGUGCACAUUCAGUUGGGGCAUGGAAAAGCCAACUGAAUUUGGUGUAAUUGCAGCAGGUUUCUGGAAUUCAUCUGAAUGGAGUGGAGGAGGCGCAGGAAGGUGUCAUGGGAGAGAAUUAUGCAAAAGUUCAGGAAAGGAUAAAAUGUGCUGGAAAUAAAAUGAAUAAGAAAUGACAUCUGGAAAUUGAUUGAAAAAAGGCAACAACUGAAAGUACAUCUGGGGAAGAGAAAACAGGAUCCAGAUUGCCACAGAUCUGGAAAGAUCAGGAGUCUAGAGAAAGUUCUAUUAAAAACAAAACAAGACAUAAAUCCCCGUGGCCUGGUGACAUGCACUGGGCAACAAACAAACUUGGGUUGACUUUCUGACCAAGAUAUCUCUAUCUGUAUUUAAGAUGCUUUCUGAGCUAUGAAAUAUGUGCAGAAAGGAAGCCCAGAAGGGCCAGAAAUUCCAGUGGUAAGGAAAGAUGGCACUGUUGUGGCAAAAUACAAAAACGUGCAGUUGAGUGGAGAUGGUCUUUCUAACCGAUAGGUCAUGUAUUAUGCAGCAAGAAGCCAAUUUUGUUGCUUCUUUGAUCCCUGCAUUUAUGUCUCACAUUCCACCUGUCUCCUUAAUGAAAUACUUUGCUGAGUCCUGGAUCAUAAUAUCAUCAAGCUGCUCAGAUGACAUUGGCUUGUGAUGUGACAUGAGUGUAUUUCUCAGUGUAUUUAUAACAUAAUACUGAAUAAUAGCCACAUUGGCAAUGCUGGUCAUAAAUCAUGCUAUCAUCACAGUCUCCAAUCAUGCAGAGCCAAUCGUAAUUUCCCCUAUCCAUCUACAGGCUGAAGAGAGCUUAGCAUUAUCCACUGGACCUCAAUGUCCUCAUUUAAGUCACAGAGGAAUGAGUGUGUAAUGCAAUCUCAAGAUACAAAAUAAAUCUGUCAUAUCAAAUCUUCAGGGGUGAUGAGGUGAAGACCACCAGAACUUCUGGCUAGUGAUUUUUGUGGAGACUUGAAACCAGGACAGAAUCCCAGCCUUUCACUGCGGGGAUUGUGAUAGGACUCUUCAUCAAGUAACAGUCAGUCAUGUUACUCAGGAAGCGCACAGAUUCCUUCCUGCUGUAUAUUUUGGUUUUCAGUAUCUCUUCCCUUUAGUUCUUUUGGUCCACUCUGUAAUGCUAAGCGUCAAAGUCUAAACAAAGGACACUAUUUUGUGGUAUGCAUUAUACUAAUCUGUGGAGAAGAGUGUGACAGGGAAAUCAUCUAUCCAUUUUGCCUCUAAUGACAAACAUGACACAAUACACAGAUACCUCCUGUUAUGAGUUGAAUGCACCCUCACUUCAUAUAUUAAAGGCCUAACCCCUUGUGUCUCAGAAUGUGACUGUAUUUGGAGAAGUUAGUAAAUAAUUAAAGAAGUAAUUAAAUUAAAAUGUGGACUCUAGGGUAGGCCAUAAUAUAAUAUGUCUUGUGUUAUUAUAAGAAAAGAUUCAGGUCCUCAUACAUGCAGAGGGAAGACUAUAUGAAGACACAGAGAAAACAGCUGUCUACUACCUAAGGAGAGAGGCCUCAAAAGAAACCACUGUGCCAACAUCCUGAUCUUGGACUUCUAGUCUCCAGAACUGUGAGGAAAGAGGAGUGCACUCUGGACUCUGAAAUGAUAAAGGAUAGAAUCUUUCAUUUCCAUCUUGAAAUUUCAAGGGAGGAGGAUGGAGUGUUGGUGCUGGUGGGAGAAGGUUGGAGUGUUUGGGUCUGAAUAGAAUGAAACUACAUAAAAGGAAAUAAAAGGCCCCAAACACAGGCGAAUAAUCGAAGUGGGUUGGAUUUAAGCCUAAAAAUUUGCUUUGCCAGGGCACUUCGGUGGUUCAGUCGGUCAAGCAGUUAAGCGUCUGCCUUUGAAUGGAGUCAUGAUCCCUGGGUCCUGGGAUUGAGCACCGCAUCAAGCCCCCCAUCAAUCCUCCUGCUCCACAGGGAGUUGUCUUCUCCCUCUCCCUCUCCCUCUC